GCCAAACUGAUGCAGGGCUGCUUGAAGAAGUCCUCUCCUAGCCUGUGCUGCUGCUCAUUCCCGGCUCAUUUGGAUAAUAAGAGGUUAUAAAUAGAACCACUCUGCGUGCUCUCCACUGCCUGUGCCCAGGAAGUUGACGGCGCCAGUUUGGCCCCAGGCGCUUUGAGCCCAUGCGGCUUUCUGGAAGACUAACAGUAUGUGACGUGGUCAUGCCACAGACCACAACUUCAGCAGGGAAAUACAAGUUUUCUUUUUGGCUACUGUGGAGGCAAAUCUCUGGCUGUAAAAAGGAAUCAGCCUAUUAUGAUGCAGAUGAAAGGAAUGAACUGCAAGUCAACUAAUAAAGAUGGACUUGAUGUA